rnacentral:rRNA from 1 species
GAUGAACGCUGGCGGCAUGCCUUACACAUGCAAGUCGAACGGCAGCGGGGGGAGAAGCUUGCUUUUCCUGCCGGCGAGUGGCGAACGGGUGAGUAAUACAUCGGAACGUGCCCUGUAGUGGGGGAUAACUAGUCGAAAGAUUAGCUAAUACCGCAUACGACCUGAGGGUGAAAGUGGGGGACCGCAAGGCCUCAUGCUAUAGGAGCGGCCGAUGUCUGAUUAGCUAGUUGGUGGGGUAAAGGCCUACCAAGGCGACGAUCAGUAGCUGGUCUGAGAGGACGAUCAGCCACACUGGGACUGAGACACGGCCCAGACUCCUACGGGAGGCAGCAGUGGGGAAUUUUGGACAAUGGGCGAAAGCCUGAUCCAGCAAUGCCGCGUGUGUGAAGAAGGCCUUCGGGUUGUAAAGCACUUUUGUCCGGGAAGAAAUGGCUCUGGUUAAUACCUGGGGUCGAUGACGGUACCGGAAGAAUAAGGACCGGCUAACUACGUGCCAGCCGCCGCCGUAA